rnacentral:lncRNA from 1 species
AAUGAUCCAAUGGGGGACCCUACCACCUUGUGGCAUGGGACUCUUAAAGAUCACCGUUAGAUCUACAUUCCGGUCUUGGGAUCACUAAAUGGUUUCACCGGCUAACUCCUUUUUAAAAUCGGCCAUGGAGGGUUUCGUCUUUCUUCUCCCUCUCUCCCAUUUUGCUCAAUAUUUCUAAUUUCCUCAUAUCCAAGUCUCCUCGAGAUAAUUUUGGAGGACAAAUUGUUUUGGGUACGAUGUUGCGAAAAACACCUCUUUCUCUCUCGCAAGGUCACAAGGUCUCAAAGAACGGUUGAAGAACAAAAAACAGGUAUGCUAUAUCUCUGUAUUUCUCAAUCUCUCUAUCUAUGAAUCUCUCUUUGUAUUUCUCAAUCUCUCUCGUAUCUGUAUCUCUAUAAUCACUUUUAUUGGGGGUAGGUAUUUUUCAAUAUCUCUAUAUUUGUAUCUUUCUUUCUUGUUUUUAUUGAGGGUAGGUAUUUCUCAAUCUCUCUUUAUAUUUCUCGAUCUCUCUUUAGGGAAUUCUAAGGCUUUUUUUUGUAAGGCAUCUCUCAAUCUCUCUCUUUAUCUCAUCUUUUUGGGGGGUUGGUAUGUCUCAAUCUCUCUCUAUAUAUUUGUAUCUCUUUAUUUCAUUUUUAUUGGGGGUAGUAUUUCUCAAUCUCUCUUUGUAUUUCUCAAUAUCUCUCUCUAGAGAAUUUUAGAGCUUUUUUUGUGGAGUUUUCAUCAUCUGAUACAAAGAAGAAGGUUAGAUAUGGUUGGAGAAGAAGAUUGUGGUCUAUGUGGGUAUGGAGGAGGUGAAAGAGGGCACCACUUCUGGUUUUCAAUCGAUCAAAGAUUGCUAUAGCAAACCAACAGCCCCAAUAAAUAGAGUGGAGUCUUGGGCCACCCUAUUUUCUCACUCAUUUGCUUGUUUAAUGGAUCAUCAUUAUUUCACAUGAUUAGAGAGUAUUGGAAUUUUUUUUCUGUGUGUAAAUAGGUGGUUCUGUCUUUUUGGAUUGUUUUGUUUUUGUUUUUCAUAUGCAUGGUCAUUUAUCUCUCUUUUGAUAGCUUUCUUAGGUGAAAUUUCUGGUUGUCUUUUAGCUCUUAUUGUUUCUCUGUUAUGUGAGAGAUUGUUGUUUUCUUUAUCCUUUUCUGAUUCUGUUUACUUUUUUAUGUUAAAAGGUUUUAAGAUAUUCAAUGUUCUAACUGCAACUUCCUUACCUGUAUAUCUCUCUCUACUUUUGCUAGGGAGAUGUAGAAUAAGAACACCCAAAACUUUGGGCGAUGUAAUUUUGCAUAAUUGAUUAGAAUUCUUGUAGAAUUUGCAUAAUUUUAGUAUAGGCAUGAGUUGUAGAUGCUAUAGUUGCAAGAUCGUUGUAUGUUAGGGAAUCUAUAGAAGGUAAUUUAAAUUGUUUUGCAAUCUCUCUUUCUGGUUGACGUUUUUAUGUACCAACUAUAUUAUGGUGUUUUUUGUUUUUUUGUUUCUUGCAGGUCAAAGGGGAUAAGGAAAUAUAUAGCUAUAUAGAAAUGUAAUACUCAGGUUACAUGUUUCUCUUUCGCUCUCUCUACCAGUUUUACAUGUCACUUUUUCACUUUCUCUUUUCAUAUUGGGAAGCUUGAAGUUGACGCAUGUUGAGUGGUUUGGUAGAAUCGGACUGAAAGUUUGUAAAUUCCGUAAAUCGUUUUGUUAUUUGUUAGAUUCAUUUUUAUCCCUCGUUCUUUCUUACUAUUUCUCUACCAAUUUUGCUAUUUUUUCUAGUGUUUCUUCAUACUUGGGUGCUUGAAAACAUGUACAUUAAAUGCAUUUGUGGCUGGGUGGAAUUGGAUUGAGACCUAACACACAUAUACCUCCAGAAGUCUACUUCUGCAUGUGAGACCAUAAGGAGCAUGUAAUAAAUUGUCACAGUGGUAGAUACGUACGUCACUAAAUUAACUGCAUUUAAAAUGACAACCCACUCUCUCUAAUGGCGCAUUAGAACUCAGCUACCUGAGAUGCAAUGACUAACAAUAGCUCAAAAAUCGUAGGUCUACAUGUAUUGUUUCUAUACAUGUUUUUCUAGUUGAAUUGAUACAUGAUAGAGUAUGACACAUGAUACAUCUUUUGAACUACACAUGUUUUUCUAGUUGAAUUGAUUGAGUUUGCCAAUUGUGUCUAAAGUCUAAAUAUUUCUAUUACACUUCAUUGUAUCAUUCUCAUUCCAUGUUAUUGAUCCAGAAAGAAACACCAACAAUGCUUUACGAUUUCCUACUAACCAUUGAGGAUCAUCCCUUAUGGUAUGGUGCCAAUGCGAAAGAAAUAGAUAGAGCUAUCCAGGUUAUGAGUGAUUCAAAAUUGAUUAGUGUUGUUGUUCGUGUUGAAGUUCGACCAAAAUGACAACAUGCACCUAUAAAAUGUUCACAUGCACCAGUGGCAUCACAUGUAAAAGGGAGCAAUAAUGAUGGCUCUAAGGAGGUUAGUGUUAUAAACACUUGCAGUUAGGAAGAUGAAAAUGGAAGAAGGGGAUACCCCAAUGCAAAUGAAGGAAAUAUUGGUUGUGAACCAUUUGUGGAUAUGGAAUUUUCAUAUGAAGAAGAAGCAAAAUUAUUAUAUAAUGAAUAUGCGAGGUAAAUAGGAUUUUAGCAUGCGCAUGAGAAAUACAAGAAAAAACACAACAUGAUGGGGUCGUGCUCUCUUGUAGAUUUUUAUGUUUAAGAGAAGGAUUUCAUUAAAAGAAAGUCGAUAUUGAAAAACCUACUUGGAAGGUACUAAACACAAGAGUUGGGUGCAAAGCAAUGAUAGAAAUAUGUAAAAAAGAUAUUGAUAAGUGGAAUGUUACAUGGUUUGAGAGAUACCACAAUUAUGAAUUUGUGAAUUCAAGUAAAGCGCGUUGUCUUCAAUCUCAUCGAGCUGUUUCUGAACGUAAGAAAAGGAUUAUAGAUACUUUUCAUAAAGCUGAGAUUCCUACUAAUAAGAUUAUGAAUGUCUUUAGAGCAGUAGACUAUAAUUUAGGCUUAAUGGAUCAUGAUUGUAGAAAUGAGCUUAGGAAGCUUUAAAAAAAAAGCCUUGACGAUGAUGCUCAAUUGCUCUUAAAUUAUUUAAAGUGCAUGCAAAGUGAAAAUCCUUCAUUCUUUUAUGCAAGUGAUGUAACUGACAAUGACCAUUUAACAAAUAUUUUUUGGGUUGAUGCUAGGUCAAGGAAUGCAUAUAAAUGUUUGGGGAUGUGGUGAUUUUUGAUACAACCUAUAUGACUAAUAAGUUUAAAAUACCUUGCCCUUUUUACUGGAAUCAACCACCAUACAAAUUCCAAUUUAUUUGGGUGUGCAUUUUUAGGAGAUGAAACUAAAUCGUCAUUUGUUUGGCUAUUUGAGACAUGGCUUUGAGCAAUGCAUGACACACAUCCCAUUACAAUAAUUAUCGACCAAGACAAAGCCAUGCAAGGAGCUAUUGCUCGUGUAUUCGCGAACACUGUCCACAGAUUUUGCAAAUGGCACAUUUUAAAAAAGGUCAAUGAGAAGUUGGGUACCACUUGUGCAUUGUAUUAAUUGGACCGAAACAAUUGAAGAGUUCGAGAGUUUAUGGGGAUUGAUUAUUGAUAAGUAUGAGCUAAAGGAAAUAGCUGGUUAGCGACAUCAAUGGAUACUAGUCUACUUGCGUGGUGCAUUAUUUGCAAAUUGCUCUACUACCCAGCGAAGUGAAAGUAUGAACUAUUUUUUCAUGGAUUUUUGAACUCUCAAACUACCCUGCAAGAAUUUGUUCUUAAAUAUGAAGAAGCUAUUGAUCACCGAUACAACGAUGAAUCCUAUUUAGAUCAUCUCACUUCUUAUUAUGCACCAACUUUGAAUACAAGCCUACCUAUGAAGAAGCAAGCAGCAAAUGCUUAUACCAGGACAAUGUUCCUUAAGUUUCAAAAGGAACUGGAUGAAGUGAUAUGUAUUGUGGUAAAUAAAAUUGAGGAGGAUUGGUCAAUCAACACAUACAAAGUUGACCACAUAUGAAAAAAAUAGCAAAGAAUAAAUAAUUAUAUUUGAUGUCUCCAAAACCGAAGCAACUUGUAACUGUAAAUUGUUUGAGUUUUCCGGGUACCUUUGUAGACAUAUGUUAGCCGUUGUGCAUCGUGAGCAUGUUCAAGAAAUCCCAUCCCAAUACAUUUUGAGGCGAUGGACAAGGAAUGCCAAGAAAUGGGUUUUAUUAAAUGAGCAUAAAAAAAGAGUGAUGGGAAAUUUCAUGGAUUCUCUGUUCUCAUGAUUCAACUAUUUAAGUCGUGAAGCAAUUAACAUUACAGACAUUGAGGCAAAAUCUACACGUGUUUUUGAAGUGGUGUUGUUGGGAUUUUAAGAAUUGAAGCAAAGAGCUAUCCAUGAGGAAAGUAUUGAAAAUACAACAUAAGUUUGCACUAUGGGCAAUGAAAGUAACAUGGGAGUAGCUACGACAACAAGUGAAAUAAAUCUAGAUUGUUUAACAAGUGAUAUUAUAUUGCAACAAAGGGCCGCCCUUCAACCAUAAGAAUUAAAACACCAUCAGAAAAGAAGCCGCGGAAGCUGGUUACAUGUCAUAUAUGCAACAAAGUGGGAUAUAAUUCACACACUUGUUCAUUGUCAAAAAGUAGUGAUUCACAACUUGCAGGGGUAAAAUAUUGAUUAUGUUGUAAAUAUUGAUUAUCUUAUACUUUCUUUAUCUACUUUUUUCUUACUCUCACCACUUGUAUGACAAGUUAUUUUGUCAUUGGAUAUUCUAGAUUGGAUCGAAAUCAUUGACAAGAAGCACUUAACCAAGUUUCAAAUAGUGAAUAAACAAAAAUAGUAAACCAUAUCCAAAAUCAUUCAUUCCAUAUAGAAAUAGCAGAAAACAAAUUGUGCAAGCAGGGCAAUAAAGUGCCAUCUUAUUCAAUAAGAGCAAAAUAAUAUUCCAUUGACAACUCACAAAGACUAUAUGAUGAUUAUAAUACUUAUUUGUCAUAGAUAUGGUACAGCUUGGUAAGCAUUGCUUGUCAUAUAGAUAAUGCAAGUCUCAUAAGAAUAGAGGCUAGGGAGAGAAAGAGAGAGAGCAAGAAAACUUUAUUGUGACAUAGAUCACCUUUAUGUUACAAAACUACGGUUCGGACCAUAUUUUUCGGUAUUUUUAAAAGUCGAAUUAUGAUUUUUUUGCUCAUUGCUCUCACUCUAUACAUAUUCGACCUAUCUUACAUCAUAUCUGUAACAUUGCAUCUCAUUAGAUACCAAAAAAGUUUAAAAAGUUAGAUAAUGAAAAGAUAAUACAAAUUCUCCAAUAAUUGAUUAAAUAAUGUUUCACAGUAUCAACAUAAUGUAAAAAGAAGUUGUUCUACACAAUUCACAUUUUUACACUCAAUAUAGGAUGUAAAAGUUCAACUGGAUGUUCUAUAAUAUAGGACGUAAAAGUUCAACUGGUUGUUCUAUACAAUUAAACAAAAACAUCAAUAUCCAGGGCCUUCUCUAGCCCCUAUAAUUCUACCCCAAACAUUAAACUAACAUCAAUUUCAAUCUCCCAAAUCAUAACCAAGACCACCACCACCACACACACACACACACACACAAAAAAGCCUCGUUUCUCUUAAACCAAACCACCCAAGAAACAUCAAAUUCAAUCUCCCAAACCUUAAACAAAACCCCCCUAAAUUUUUUUAAAAACUAGGUUCUAUCAAACGUUCAAUAUACAUCAAACUCGAGGUUCCAAAACACAACCAAAACACCCAAUAAGCCUCAAUUCUAAUUGCCCAAAUCAUAACCAAAGCAACCAAAAAUAAAAAGUACAAAAUGGAAAACUGAUUUCCAAAUUCAAUCUCCCAAAUCAUGACCAAGUUCACCCAAAAAAAAAAAACUGGGAUCCUUCAAACAUUUAAUAAACAUCAAAUUCAAGCUCCCAUAUCAUAACUAAACCACCCAAGAAGCAUCAAAUUCAAUAUCCAAAUAUAUAAAUAAAACACCCAAUAAACAUAAAAAUCAAGCUCCUGAGUCCCAAUAAGCAGGGGACAAACCCUAGAGAAAGAAAGAGUCGUACCAGAGAAGUAAAAGUAACAGUGACCACUCUGAAACUACAAUUCAAGAGGCAAAAUAGAUUGAUGUGGUUUUUUUUGGUUUGUGAUUUCAAUUGUUCGGUGGAGAAGAGAGUACCUAGCAAUGAGAUUCACAGUUGCAGUUGCAGUUAGAGUGAGCUUUACGGAUGGCUGCGUGAAGAAGGAGAGAGAGCUCCUCAGCAGUCUAGGGUUUCAUCAGCAAGGUCGAACGAGCUUCUCUGUGAUUUAGGACUUCUAGGGUUCUGAUUUAGGGAUUCACAAGAGCUUCGUUAGAGAGAGAGACUUGCAUAAAUGAGUGAGCUUAGGGCUUCACAGGGCUCCUCUUCGUCUAUUUUUGUUUUGGGCAGACCCCCAAAAAACUGUCCUCCAAAAUUAUCUCGCGGCCACUUGGAUAGGAGCAAAUUAGAAAGAAGGUGCAAGAUGGAAGAAAAAAGGUGAGAGGAAACCAGUGGGCCAAGGAGAGGGAGAAAAAAGGGGGUGAGGACCGAGAGCAGUAACAGAGCCGAAAUUUUUGUGACACAAAUGACCGGCCAUGGUUGGUUUUAGGAAGGGGUUAGCCGGUGAAACUAUUUCUGAUCCCAAGAUUGAGAUGUAGAUCUGAUGGUGAUCCUAAGGGGUCCCAUGGCACAAGGUGUACAAGAUGAGAUCAUUUACCUGUCGUAUAAGUCUUUGGUUUUUUUUUUUUGGUAAGUACCUUUGGUACAAGGUGGGACAUUAAUCUUGACCAUUGGAUGUGUAAUUCAAUGGCUGCAAUUAUUCUAUUGAUCAAGCUUGAACUUCAAAAGAAAUUUUCUUGAACUUUUUGACACAUCAAAGCUAUCACACUUCACGUCGGAUAGUUAUAAGUAAUUGUGAUCGUCUUGUGUCAAAGGUAUUGUAUACAAUCCCAAUUUCAAAUCCAAGGGUCAAGAUUAAUGUCUUACCUUGUACCUGGAUAAAAAAUCACCAGGUUUUGAAACACCGGCACGAACAAAAAUGACAAUUAAAGGACCCCCAUGGUCCCAAGUAUCUAGUGUCAUCCAACUAAAUAGAUGAGAGAAGAGGGAAGGAAUGGAAAUGUGGGACCCAAUAUUUGAGUCAUAAGCCGGUUAGUGAUCUUUAGUAUCUUCCUACUUUACGGAGGUUCAUCCCGGUACUACUAGGAUUGAUCAGGCUAAUCGAAUCAGUAAAGGUUUAGUUUAACCAAGAUUGGUUCGACUGUUGGUCAAAACUAGUUGAACAAGAUUUAGAAAAAAGAAAAGAAAAUGGAUAUUCGUUUAAAAAAAAUUGUCUAACAUUAGUUAGCUAGGGGUGGAAAUGGGCCAGGAGGCCCGGCCCAGGCUAAGGCAAAAAAGGCCUAACCGGUCUGACCCGUAUUAUGAUUAUUAUUUUUUACCUUUUUCUUUUAGUUUUCUUUAAUUUUAUCCUGCUAGGCCCGUCCCGGCCCUAAUAGAGCUAGGGUGGGCCUUCAAGGGAACAAGGCUCGGCUAGGACUAGGGUUGACCUGGCCCAGGUCUCAAUCCCGCCCUGUUGCCAGCCCUACAGUUAGCCGAUCGAACAUGUUAAACUUGAUUAGUCCGAUGGACCAAAGUUAGUCAAAUAUUAGUUUUCACUGAUUUUUUUUGCAAAGUCGAUUUUUACUUUAGAUCAAACCGAUCAAAGCAGUAGUCGAUGAUUCAACUACUUAGACCACCAGUUUGGUCUGGACUUGAUAACUAUGGUCCAUUCAUUAACUAGACAGUCAUAAUACUUUGGAGCAUAGAUUUCAUAUAGUUUUAUGGAUCACAACCCACAUUCCUUGUAAUAAUUAAUGAACAGUAAGUAAUAAUUAUUUGUGCAUUCACUAGAGCUGUCCGGCUUUUGCAUUAUCGGACAGCGUGCUUUGCUUAAGUUAUUGUUCUUUGUUGUCCGGUGUUCGAAAUACCGGAUAGCUCUCUGAAUCCCCGAAACCCAAGUCCCCCUUAACUCAACUAUGAUACAAGUGUUCGCUUUAAUGUCAACGGUUAUGGUGGCCUUCUCUGUGAUAACCACGGUUUGACCAUUUGGUCUUCUCAUGGGAGGUUGCACACUUGCAAGAUCAAUAAGGCGGAGCUAUGGGCAUUCAAAAUGGGAGUGGACAGUCUUGGCUCAAAUCAGCUCAAAGUGAUUGUCAAAGGAGAUUCAGCAAACGUUAUCAAAUUUAAUCAGUCGGACCUCAUGUCUUGGAGCCUUAGUGGCAUUAUGUAUCGUAUCAUUUUGGCAUUGGAAUCCCACGAAGUGAUUUUUGUUCAUGUUAAGAGAGGUUUUGAUAUUGAUGCUGAUCGACUUACCAAAGCUGCUAGUGCUUAGGCUCUGGCUCUUUCUUGGCCAUGUUUUUUCUUUCUUUCCAUGUGUCUUUUCUAUUCUUUUCUCGUAAUUUCAUUUGCCUUAAUGAAUUGACUAUUGCGUACUUUCAUCUAAAAUAAAUCAAGUCCUCCCUUUCUUCAGUCAUUUCUCCUCUCUAAUCCUCUCUCUCUUUACAACCCAUGACGAAGUUCGUCCUUGGCUUCAGAUUGCUUAAUGAUCAAAGUGCGUCUUUGGUUUCAGCUCUAAGUUCAUUGCUUUGAUGCAAGAAUGAUUGCUAAAGAUCUGAAGAGUUACAUGGCUACGCUUCAUCAGAAUGAGUUUUGUUUUCAGGGGGAGAUGGGGGUUUUAGAUUCAGGAGCCAUGAGGAGCACCGCACACCCAUAGAUAUCAUUAAUGGGGGGAGGGGGUUAAGUUUCAUAUUUUGUAAACGAAGAUGAUCUCUAUCGCGUUGGCCAUGGCCAUGGCCUUGUUGAAGAAAGCAAUGG